AAAAUGACUCUCGGCAACGGAUAUCUAGGCUCUCGCAUCGAUGAAGAACGUAGCGAAAUGUGAUACUUGGUGUGAAUUGCAGAAUCCCGUGAACCAUCGAGUUUUUGAACGCAAGUUGCGCCCGAAGCCAUUAGGCUGAGGGCACGUCUGCCUGGGCGUCA
rnacentral:rRNA from 1 species